rnacentral:lncRNA from 1 species
AUCUCCACAACCUAAUUUUUCCACAUCAAUUGCACUAGGUCUAAUUGCUAACUAGACCUAAAGAAAUGGCAACCAAAAUGAGACUAUUCUAACUCGGUAGAUGAUGUAGCAUAUAUUGAUUACCACAAGCCUCAAUAGCCGACCUCGACAUCGGCUAACAUGCUGUCCUGAGUAGUCGAGCUGCCGACAAGAAUUGUUAUACUAAUUCAAGUAGACAAACCAAUCAGCAGCAAUGGGUUGC